UCGAUACUGACACUGAGGUGCGAAAGCGUGGGAGCAAACGGAUUAGAUACCCCGGUAGUCCACGCCGUAAACGAUGUCUACUAGCCGUUGGAGGACUUGAUCCUUUAGUGGCGCAGCUAACGCGAUAAGUAGACCGCCUGGGGAGUACGGUCGCAAGAUUAAAACUCAAAUGAAUUGACGGGGGCCCGCACAAGCGGUGGAGCAUGUGGUUUAAUUCGAAGCAACGCGAAGAACCUUACCUACUCUUGACAUCCAGUGAACUUUUGAGAGAUCAAUUGGUGCCUUCGGGAACACUGAGACAGGUGCUGCAUGGCUGUCGUCAGCUCGUGUUGUGAAAUGUUGGGUUAAGUCCCGUAACGAGCGCAACCCUUGUCCUUAGUUACCAUCAUUAAGUUGGGGACUCUAAGGAGACUGCCGGUGACAAACCGGAGGAAGGCGGGGACGACGUCAAGUCAUCAUGGCCCUUACGAGUAGGGCUACACACGUGCUACAAUGGCAUGUACAAAGGGUUGCCAAGCCGCGAGGUGGAGCUAAUCCCAUAAAGCAUGUCGUAGUCCGGAUUGGAGUCUGCAACUCGACUCCAUGAAGUCGGAAUCGCUAGUAAUCGUGAAUCAGAAUGUCACGGUGAAUACGUUCCCGGGCCUUGUACACACCGCCCGUCACACCAUGGGAGUGGGUUGCUCCAGAAGUAGAUAGCUUAACCUUCGGGAGGGCGUUUACCACGGAGUGAUUCAUGACUGGGGUGAAGUCGUAACAAGGUAACCGUA
rnacentral:rRNA from 1 species